AAAAUAAGAAUAACUUUUGAGUGUCUGUCGAUAUUUAUUUCUCUCUCUCUCUCUCUCUCUCUCUCUCUCCCCCUACCUAGCUGCCUAUCAGAAGGAAGUGAAGAUUCUUCCAAGGUCCCUUCUUCACAAGCCAAUUUGAUUCAAAAGAUUCUGAGGGUGUUUCUGGAAGGUAUUUUAAAGGUGCCCAAGAAAUGAGAAGAAAGAACAAAGGCCAAGUCCAUUGGUCAAUUUGUACAAAAUAACUUGAGGCCUGGCCAGGUGUCCAUCCAGUUGAAUCAUCUGUCAUGUGGUUUCCAGCCAGUGCUUCCUUGAGCAAAACUCAGAUUCACAGAAAUCCCCAUGCAUUUGAAGGAAAGAAAUUGCUGUUGAUUGCCCUUACAAGGUAAAAUGCACUCAUUUGCCAGAGAUUGGAUGAUUAACAUGACCUUGUGAUCAAAAAGUAAAGAAUGUAUCGUUGUGUUUUUACACUGAGAAACUUGGAAAGCUGGGAUUUUCUGUUUAUUUUCUCUUUCCCUGCUUCGUCAACAUGAUCUGGUAAGUAUAAUAUAAUGAACUCUCAUUACACUUAAAAUGAAGUAUAAACCUAUUACCCCGACCUCACAAGGCCUACGUGAUCUGGCCACACUUAUCUUCUGACCUCAAUUCUUUUUUUCUUUCCUUCUUUCCUGUUCCAUGUGCAUGCCAAGCAUGUAUCUGUGGACACAUAUGAAU
rnacentral:lncRNA from 1 species